CUAACCUGUUGUAAGCCCGCAGCUUUGGGCCUGGUCUCUGCUGCUCCCAGGCGGCCCCUUUGGGUACUGCCUGAGCAAGAAGUGCUGGAGAGGAGGACCAGUCAUCAAUAGGAGGAUGAGAUUGGGAGAGACACUCGGUGCAGGAGGCUGAGUGAGCAGGGGAGCACUAAGACCCAGGGGUAGUGGAGGACUGCAGCAACGAGCUGGAGGAGGAGAAGUAAGCGGUGGGGGGUGGGAGCCAUCUGGUACUUUGACAGCAUUCAAAACAGCAUCGGCCAUAACAACAGAAAUGGCCAGUCAGUCCCAAGGUAUCCAGCAGCUUCUGCAAGCUGAGAAGCGGGCAGCUGAGAAGGUGGCAGAUGCCAGAAAGAGGAAGGCCCGGCGACUGAAGCAGGCAAAGGAGGAGGCACAGAUGGAGGUGGAGCAAUACCGCAGAGAGCGAGAGCACGAAUUCCAGAGCAAGCAGCAGGCGACAGGCAUUUUCCAAAGGCAAGCCUGGAGCGCACGGAUCUGUAUAACCGCGGAAGGCCCUGUUUCCGGUCCCUUGCGCCUGCGCUCUUGCAGCCAAGAAGGCGGGAGGCUGGAGUAGAGGGAAGCCUGCAACCGGAAGUGAAGGCAGAUUUCCCUCCUUCGUCGCUGUUGCUGCCGCCAUACGCGCUCUCCCUGUUUAGCUCUUCUGUUAGAAAUAGUAUCUUUGUUUUCCUUUGCUGUUCCUCAAUCCCCUACUCUUCACCCCUUGUUUUCACCUAUUUUGCGAGAACCCAUCCAGAUCCCCCUUCCCUUCUUCCCCUGCCGGCCCAGUUAUGGCAGAGAACGAUGUGGACAAUGAGCUCUUGGACUAUGAAGAUGAUGAGGUGGAGACAGCAGCUGGGGGAGAUGGGGCUGAGGCCCCUGCCAAGAAGGAUGUCAAGGGCUCCUAUGUCUCCAUCCACAGCUCUGGCUUUCGUGACUUCCUGCUCAAGCCAGAGUUGCUCCGGGCCAUUGUCGACUGUGGCUUUGAGCAUCCGUCAGAAGUCCAGCAUGAGUGCAUCCCUCAGGCCAUUCUGGGAAUGGAUGUCCUGUGCCAGGCCAAGUCGGGCAUGGGAAAGACAGCAGUGUUUGUCUUGGCCACACUGCAACAGCUGGAGCCAGUUACUGGGCAGGUGUCUGUACUGGUGAUGUGUCACACUCGGGAGUUGGCUUUUCAGAUCAGCAAGGAAUAUGAGCGCUUCUCUAAAUACAUGCCCAAUGUCAAGGUUGCUGUUUUUUUUGGUGGUCUGUCUAUCAAGAAGGAUGAAGAGGUGCUGAAGAAGAACUGCCCGCAUAUCGUCGUGGGGACUCCAGGCCGUAUCCUAGCCCUGGCUCGAAAUAAGAGCCUCAACCUCAAACACAUUAAACACUUUAUUUUGGAUGAAUGUGAUAAGAUGCUUGAACAGCUCGACAUGCGUCGGGAUGUCCAGGAAAUUUUUCGCAUGACCCCCCACGAGAAGCAGGUCAUGAUGUUCAGUGCUACCUUGAGCAAAGAGAUCCGUCCAGUCUGCCGCAAGUUCAUGCAAGAUCCAAUGGAGAUCUUCGUGGAUGAUGAGACGAAGUUGACGCUGCAUGGGUUGCAGCAGUACUACGUGAAACUGAAGGACAACGAGAAGAACCGGAAGCUCUUUGACCUUCUGGAUGUCCUUGAGUUCAACCAGGUGGUGAUCUUUGUGAAGUCUGUGCAGCGGUGCAUUGCCUUGGCCCAGCUACUAGUGGAGCAGAACUUCCCAGCCAUUGCCAUCCACCGUGGGAUGCCCCAGGAGGAGAGGCUUUCUCGGUAUCAGCAGUUUAAAGAUUUUCAACGACGAAUUCUUGUGGCUACCAACCUAUUUGGCCGAGGCAUGGACAUCGAGCGGGUGAACAUUGCUUUUAAUUAUGACAUGCCUGAGGAUUCUGACACCUACCUGCAUCGGGUGGCCAGAGCAGGCCGGUUUGGCACCAAGGGCUUGGCUAUCACAUUUGUGUCCGAUGAGAAUGAUGCCAAGAUCCUCAAUGAUGUGCAGGAUCGCUUUGAGGUCAAUAUUAGUGAGCUGCCUGAUGAGAUAGACAUCUCCUCCUACAUUGAACAGACACGGUAGAAGACUCGCCCAUUUUGGAAUGUGACCGUCUGUCCUUCAGGAGAGGACACCAGGGUGGGGGUGAAGGAGACACUACUGCCCCCACCCCUGACAGCCCCCACCCCAUGGCUUCCAUCUUUUGCAUCACCACCACUCCUGAACCCCCAUUUCUGAUUUGUCAGAAUUUUUUUUUAACAAAACUAAAAAUGAAACACAUGUGUCUGUGGUAUCUAUAA